rnacentral:rRNA from 1 species
AUGAAAAUGGCGUUGCCAUCCACAUCACGUGAGGAAUCCUUCGUAUCUGGGACAAGCAAGAGCGUCUUCUUGCCUCGGUGCCACGUGAACGCAACUGGCUAUAUGUGGUGCACUUCAACAUCACUCACCCUAGGCCUUGCCGCACGUCACGACGUCGUGGCCUGGCGAUGGCACGAUAGGUUUGGCCACAUCUCCUUCCACGCGCUGAGACGCAUGUCUCGCAACAAGAUGGUGUGUGGGCUGCCGGAGCUCGAGCAUAUGGGCCAGCUCUGCAAUGCCUGCAUCACCACUGAUGUAGGACCAAGUCCUAGGUUUGCCUGA